rnacentral:misc_RNA from 1 species
GAACGCACCUUGCACUCCUUGGUAUUCCGAGGAGUAUGCCUGUUUGAGUGUCAUUAAAUUCUCAAACCUCUUUGACUUUGUUGACAAAGAGGCUUUGGAUGUGGGAGUUGCUGGCUUUUACGAGUCAGCUCUCCUUAAAUACAUUAGUGGUUACUGUUCUCCACUUCCUGGUGUGAUAAUAUCUACGCCUAGUGGUGAUGUUAAGUGUAGCUGCUUUCUAACCGUCCAUGCAAUGUGGACAACUUGAACCCUUUGACCUCAAAUCAGGUAGGACUACCCGCUGAACUUAAG